AGCUCAAUUGGUAAAGAAUCUGCCUGUAAUCCAGAAGACCCAGGUUCAAUUCCUGG
rnacentral:tRNA from 1 species